CUUCAUUUGCCUGAUGCAGAAGAAAAUUUACAGAGAAGAUAACUGAUCUGUGUUGUCAAAAAAGCUAGUAAUUGUAACUGUCAUUAUUCAACCCAUUCCCAAUACACCACACAAACCCAGUUAAGAGAGUUUCAAUUCCCUUCCCAAUUCUUCCAGGUAAGGUUGUUUUCCAGAAUCCAGAGUCCGAAUUUAACUUGCCCAAAAAACUGUUUUAUUUUCAAAAAUAUCCACAGAAUAGAAGAAGAGAACUAAACCCAGCAAUUCCCAAUUGCGCAUCCUCAACUAUAAAUAACCAUUUUCCUCAUCUUACGUGAGAGCUUUCCAAGCUGGAUUUCUUCCCUCAAUUAGUAAUUUAUUACUAAUUUAGGGCAGUUAGAUCGAUUUGAGCCGUUGAAGAGGGAUAGAGUUGAGGUUUAAAGUAAAUCAUAAAGAAAAUUGAGAAGAUAAACACAUCACAGAUACCAGAUCGUUCGCUGGAGAGCUUAUCGUCGUCAUGGGUUCAUCAGAUUUCACGCUCAAACCUGCUGGCAUAGGUUGUAUUUCAUUUUUUAUUGUCAGAGGAGGGUUUGGGACGUUGGAUCUAAACAGUUAUAAAAAGGCUUAAAUCUUUCAGAGGCGAACUGUGUCAAUUUGGGAUCCCAGGAGAUUUUCAGCCGAAGAGAGACCCCAGAAGACUCAAAUGGGGGAUUCGGAGACAGAAAAUGGAACUUCAAAAGAGA